rnacentral:lncRNA from 1 species
UGGGAUCCCUCACGUGGUAGGAGGCACUUGUCUUCUCUUUAUCUUGCGAGGGUCACCACGAAGAUGAGCUCCAGGGACAUCGGAUGCCUGUUUCAAGAUGUUGAAGAGUGAAGUCGGCAUGGUAAUCAGAUUUGGGCCGUUUGUCUCAUAAUGUUUCAUUGCAUGUCAGAUUAAAGCGGGCUUCAGAGCGAAAAGUUGAUACAGCAAUACAUCGCGCCUGUCUCAACGUGUUCUGUUCCUGAUCCUUGACGCAGAAGUAGCAAAUACUCGCCGUCAUCGCCGCCUUAGGUAAGUGGUGAUUAAUCAAAAACCGAGCCAGUACAGACUUUCUACACCCAGGACCAGCAGAUACAGUCAGCGAUCCGGACUCCGCGUCGCCAUUUCUCGCUCAGAAAAUUCAGAGCUGCGGUCCGGUAGAUCCUCAAAAUACUCCGAAGUUGAAAAUCGUGGAUGUGCUGAUACAAAUCGACCUUUUUGAGCUCUGCUCCCAAUUCCUCGAAUUCAUCCUGCGAGUUAGCGUCCCGUCUUCGUUGUGGUAAUAAUAGAUACCCAAGCUUGUGUAGUACUCCAUACGUGAAUCCAUCGUGAUUAGCCUCCUCGGCCGUCAACAGAUUCAUCAACGGGGGAAGAUUAAUACAUACGCCCGCCUAGCCAGGAACGCUUGUGGUGAAGAGGAGUCCGCCGAAGAGACGAAGUCCUUUACGUCUUGGACUAGACUGGCCACUUGCGAGAUCUGGUCUUGUAGGAUGUAGGUGUGCCCCGCAAUGUUGUAUUUUGUUUUCCGAGACUCGAAUUCUUGGAGGCUGGUGGACUCUGAGGUUUAGGUGGGCUUGACGUUAUGGAGCUACAGGUUGGCGAUGAAGUGAUAGUGAUCAUCUGUUUGAGUCCUAUUCAGUUCCUAAUCCCUCGUCGGAGCCUUUGAGUUUGUUAUAUGUCCGGUCCCAAAGCGAGACUUUUGCAGAUGUCGUUGUUGAAGUUGAUGAAAUCCGUACAGACGAGCGUGCUUUCUGAUCAUUGACACUCGGAUUCUGUGACGACUCCGAGGCUGGCACAACCUUAGCACUGAAAGCAAUAGGUCUGACGACUUGUGGCAAAUAACCAAGGUAUAUUCAUCAUGUCUAUCUCGACUACUUUGUUGUUGCUGCCGAAAUGGUUUAUAGUUUUUUUAAUGAUCAGAUAGGCAUUAAAUGAUAUCAAGAUAUCAAGCUGCGCUACAGCUGAUGAACUGGUAAUUCAGGGCUAAAUGCAAGCCUAGAGUACUGCUUCCAUUCAAGUACAGACAUAC